GGGAUAUAGCUCAGUGGUUGAGCGUUCACCUAGCAUGUAUGAGGCCAUGGUUCAAUGCCCUGUAACCCA
rnacentral:tRNA from 1 species